UGAGGAAUAUUGCACAAUGGGCGAAAGCCUGAUGCAGCGACGCCGCGUGGGUGAAGAAGGUUUUCGGAUCGUAAAACCCUUUUCUGUGUGACGAGAACGGACGGUAGCACAGGAAUAAGUCUCGGCUAACUACGUGCCAGCAGCCGCGGUAAAACGUAGGAGACAAACGUUAUCCGGAGUUACUGGGCGUAAAGGGCGUGCAGGCGGCAGUCUAAGUCUGGCGUGAAAUAUCCCGGCUCAACCGGGGAAGGUCGUCGGAUACUGGGCAGCUAGAGGACGGUAGAGGCGUGUGGAAUUCCGGGUGUAGUGGUGAAAUGCGUAGAGAUCCGGAGGAACACCAGUGGCGAAGGCGACACGCUGGGCCGUACCUGACGCUAAGACGCGACAGCAUGGGGAGCAAACAGGAUUAGAUACCCAGGUAGUCCCUGAGCGGGCUGGCAAGGCGCAU
rnacentral:rRNA from 1 species